AAUAUUGGGCAAUGGGCGCAAGCCUGACCCAGCGACGCCGCGUGAGGGAAGAAGGUCUUCGGAUUGUAAACCUUAGUAGUCAGGGACGAUAAUGACGGUACCUGAAGAGUAAGCUCCGGCUAACUACGUGCCAGCAGCCGCGGUAAAACGUAGGAGGCAAGCGUUAUCCGGAGUUACUGGGCGUAAAGCGCGCGCAGGCGGUUAGGCAAGUUGGGUGUGAAAGCUCCCGGCUAAACCGGGAGAGUGCAUUCAAGACUGCCUGGCUAGAGGACGGUAGAGGGGCGCAGAAUUCGGGGUGUAGCGGUGAAAUGUGUAGAGAUCCCGAGGAAUACCAGUGGGGAAGCCGGCGCCCUGGGCCGAACCUGACGCUGAGGCGCGACAGCGUGGGGAGCGAACGGG
rnacentral:rRNA from 1 species